UACGUAGGGUGCAAGCGUUGUCCGGAAUUAUUGGGCGUAAAGAGCUCGUAGGCGGUCUGUCGCGUCUGCUGUGAAAACUCAGGGCUCAACCCUGGAAUGCCGGUGGAUACUGCCGGGCUAGAGUCCGGAAGAGGCGAGUGGAAUUCCUGGUGUAGCGGUGAAAUGCGCAGAUAUCAGGAGGAACACCGAUGGCGAAGGCAGCUCGCUGGGACGGUACUGACGCUGAGACGCGAAAGCGUGGGGGAGCAAACAGG
rnacentral:rRNA from 1 species